rnacentral:misc_RNA from 1 species
UAUCAUUACUUGCAAUAAGCACUGUAGAUUAGCCUUUAUCAGUAAUUGUAUAAGUAGAGGUGUAGAAAGGAGAACAUGAGCAACCAGUCUGAAGAAAAUCAGGAAUUUACGAACAUAGGUGAGUUGAUCAACAAUUAAAGGGUGACAAAUUAUCAACCCACUCAGUAAUCAAAUUUUCACAAGCUCGGGUGUUAAAAGUUGAAAGGAGAAGCUGUGGAUGACUGAUUUAUGCAGACAAG